UACGAAGGGUGCAAACGUUGCUCGGAAUUAUUGGGCGUAAAGCGCACGUAGGCGGCUCUACAAGUCCCAUGUGAAAUCCCCACGGCUUAACCGUGGAAGUGCAUGGGAAACUGCAGAGCUUGAGUACUUAAGAGGAUCGCGGAAUUCCCGGUGUAGAGGUGAAAUUCGUAGAUAUCGGGGAGGAACACCAGUGGCGAAGGCGGCGUCUGGGGAAGAUACUGACGCUGAGGUGCGAAAGCGUGGGGGAGCAAACAGG
rnacentral:rRNA from 1 species